rnacentral:lncRNA from 1 species
AUAAAGUGCAGAUGAAUCAGAUCCUGAUAAUUAUCAGCUGGUGAAUGCUGAGUAUCUGAUAAAGCCCUUGAAUGUUUAAGAAGGGCAUGGAGAGCAGGAGGCUGCCUGAUGUUGUGGCUGGCUCUUGUGCAAUGCCUGGUGGGAUGCUGUGUCCUGCUGUGCUGCAGAGUCAGUUGAAACAGAUACUGCGAUUCAGCCCAAGUUCUGAGGAGCUUCAGUUUCCCAAAAUAAGGUACCAGUCUACGGAGUCUCCAAAACUCAAGAGCAGAUCAAGAGCUGCCAUCAAGAGCAGAUACCUCAGGAGACAAAUGCUACGGGUGAAUUGCUUCACAUAUAGAAUGCUUGCUUGUACAAAUAAUUCUACAAGAUAACUCAGAGAAAGGAAAAAGACAAGCUAAUGAGGCAAAGGUGGUCAGAGCAAUAGCUCUGAAGACAAGGAGUGGAAAAGGAUUGCCUUAUCCAGAUUAUCCUACAUGCUGAAUGUGGGCUGUACUGCUGACGCCAAGCUUUUGACAUCUUUUAAAAUUGUACUGAGAAGUUUAAACCUCUACUGGUAUCCUUCUGGGGAACAUCUGUCAGUGAAAUAUGAGCUACCAACCCAAAGUGAUGGUGUGUUUUGAACCUGGGAGUCAAGUUAAAUUAAUGUUACCUCUAAAAGACAAAUAUAAUAAUCUUUUCUGUUGCUUGGUUUUUCAAUUGAGGCAUUUGUUAUUUAAUUACAUUUGACUUGUAUGCAUAAAUAACUUUGCAAGGUUAAUAUAUUAUUUUUUAGUAAAUAUCUGGAUAUUUGGUCAUUUAAAACCAGUCUUUUCUCAUAAUACCCUUUUACUCUCCUUUCUCCUUCCCCACCUUCAGUUCUCCCUACUGUCCAAUGUGUCCUAGGCUAUUGUUCAGAGAAGAAGGACAUCUGUAUAUAUGCAGAUGUCAAGAUUAAGCAUAUAACUCUUAGAUUUAAGG